AGGAGAGAAGCUGGUAACAGAUGGGGCGAAGGAGGAAAAGUUCUUUUUGCGGCACCCUCACGCCUUCCCAGCCCUUUCGCGGUUUACUCGCUCCCCGGAAAGCAGGUUAGAGCAUCCCAAAAUUUCAUGUCCCCAAGACCCCCAAAGGGGAAAUUAACCACCCUCGGGCACCGAGCUGUUCGUCUCCAUUUCCCACAACUCAACCAACUCGGCCUGCCUACUCCAGCUCAGGCUGCAAAGCGCUCACCCAGGUGACUGGAGGGGAAGGGUCGCCAGGUGGCGACCAGCUCAGCGGGGUGGACGCAACCGCCCGGACCGGGACGCGGGUCUCCUGGCCUCCCGCAGAGACGCCUGCCCAGUAGUUGUGCAGAUUCGGGUUCUGGGGUGCGUGCGCGCGCGCCGGGCGCGGUGAAGCCGGACUCGCCCCCGCCGGGCUAAGCUACCAGCAAGCCACCAAAUCGAAAAUCAAACUUUAACCGGCCUCCUGGGGUCCUGCUCCGGGCCCUGGACCCCAACCCCGGCCAGAAACAGGGCAGGGGGCUGUCAGCCGUCCUGCACCCCCGCUCCCCCCAGGACCCGGGCGCGGGGACCACUUACCGCUCGGCCCGGCCUCCCGGUGCCGCCGCGCGUCCCGGGCGCGUCCGCCGCGCGCUCUCCCUGGGGAGAAAGAGAAACCGUGUAGACGGCCGGCGCGCGCUCACUCGCCGCCUCCUCUGCGGAGAGCGGCGAGGCCGGCCCGAGGCGGGCGCCGAGCGCGGAGCGGAGGGGGGCCCGAGGGAGGCGGGGGUGGAAUCAGCCCAAUUCCCGAGGCUGGCUCCGAGGGGGACCCGGAAUACAGGCUGGCGGGGGGCCGGCGGGGGCCGAGCUCCCGGAGGAGGGGAAGGCGGAGGUGGCCCCGUCCUUGGGCAUCAACUAUUGUCUAGGCGCCCGGGCCCCCGCUCGCGCCGUCCCCGAGGCUCAGCGCCCCCAUCCCGCCCGCCAGCAGAAAGAACUGAGGGGGCGGCCAGUACGGGAAGCAAGUGCGGGGGUCCGGGCUCCGAAGGUCCAAGGUGGGCGCGAGGUUGCCGGGGGGGGGAUGAGGAGGUGCGUACCGCAUGGGGGAGGGGACAGGUAAGUGCGGACGGGGGCGGGAAGGCCCCAACGACCGGUGGGGGAGGAAAUGGGGAGGGAGCCACAGAGGCGGGAGGGAAUGGAGUGGCUGCGGGGGCGGCCUCUGGGGCCCAGACCUGGCCCUCCCCGGGGACCCUCCAGCCGGGGACUCGGCGCUGCACUGACUUUUCGCUCACUCGCUCACGCACGCACUGAACUCGCUCACAAAGUUGCCGGCAGUGGCGGCGCCUCACUCGCCCUUCCCCUCCCCGCCCCGCCUCCCGCCCCAUUCCUUCCCCUCCUUCACUCCUCCCUCUCCCCCAAGUCUCGGGUGAGAUCACCACGGAGCGGCUUAGCGCGGCGCACAAGUCUCGCGAGAGAAGCGGCGGCUGGGCCCUGCAGGCGGAGGAAGUGGAAAAAGUCGCGGGAGGGUAGGGGACCGCGGAACUUCUGGUUGCUAUGACGACGGCAAAGCCCUGGAUUCCUGUCUCCUGCGGAGAGCAGAGGCUGCAAACGCAUCCGCAGACGCCUUUAUACGUACUCCAAAAUGCUAGUAAGGAUGAAGAUGAACUCUCCUCAGCCCGUGUCUUUUAACUGUAGAAACUUUUCUGAGAAAUGAAAAGAGGCUUGCUCAUGACUUGGAAGCGGUGGGCUGAGGCCUCCCAAGACCAUCUGGCUUGUUCCAUUGCCAGCCAGAGUGGAGGCGACAUUCACACGAACCCAGGAGCUGCAGGGGCGCGUGAGCUACAGCUGCCUUGUGGCAUCCAAGGAGUGCGCAGUGAGAUUCCGCAGGAGAAAUCACGCUUUGCAUGUUCUUGAGUACAAGAAACAUGUGUAAUGAGGGUUUUUGUUUGCGGGCAUGCCAAGGAGAACGACUGGAAUAUUAAAGUCAUCACAGCCUUUAUUUAAGGGAGAAGAGGACAAGCAUGAAUAUGCUGAUAGUUCAGAGAUAUUUAGGACCUUCAGCAGCUCAGCACUCAUCCUAGAUUUAUACAAAUACCUUUCCAGAGAUGAAGUUUUUAAAAGCCUUUUAAAGGAAUUUUAUUUGUUCUUUUCACGUGGGGAAAAGUGAUGAGUAUAUCUAUGCAAGUAUGAGAAAUGGCCAAGGCCACUCCAUGUAAUUUUUUACUUAUCCUAUAGCUACACAAAGAAAAUAGCACCAAGUGUUGUAGAGGAAAAUCUACUAGACUUCAAGCCCGGCUUGAAUUCAAUUCUGUGCUCUAAUUCAGACUCUAUCUUUACUUAGCUGAGUCAUAUAAAUUAUUUAAUUUUCUAGACUUCUCACUUCUCUUUCUUUCUUUUUUUUUUAGACUAGUCUCACUCUGUUGCCCAGGCUGGAGUGCAGUGGCGCGAUCUCAGCUUACUUCAGCCUCCGCCUCCCGGUUUCAAGUGAAUUCUCCAGCCUCAACUUCACAAGUAGCUGGGAUUACAGCCACUUUUUAUCUUCUCUCCUGCAAUCCAACCCACAUAAUUUCCAUGAAGAAAGCGGAGUGGUGUCAUUUUACAACAAGAAAACUGAGUUAAGAAUAAGUCCAAUCAAUUGCUAGGUGUUGAGACUGAAAUGGAAGUCUCUUAGUACUCCACCCAAGGAUUUUCAUAUUAAACAAUUAUCUUGUCA
rnacentral:lncRNA from 1 species